UGCUGUUCUGGUAUUUUGCUCAUGG
rnacentral:piRNA from 1 species